AUUGAACGCUAGCGGGAUGCUUUACACAUGCAAGUCGAACGAGUGGCGGACGGGUGAGUAAUAUAUCGGAACGUGCCCAGUAGCGGGGGAUAACUACUCGAAAGAGUGGCUAAUACCGCAUACCAUCGGAGCGGCCGAUAUCGGAUUAGCUAGUUGGAGGGGUAAAGGCUCACCAAGGCAACGAUCCGUAGCGGGUUUGAGCGGACGACCAGCCACACUGGGACUGAGACACGGCCCAGACUCCUACGGGAGGCAGCAGUGGGGAAUUUUGGACAAUUGGGGAAACCCUGAUCCAGCCAUCCCGCGUGUAUGAGAAGGCCUUCGGGUUGUAAAGUACUUUUGGCUAGGAAGCGUUAUCUGCAGAAUAAGCACCGGCUAACUACGUGCCAGCCGCCGCGGUAAUAC
rnacentral:rRNA from 1 species